rnacentral:piRNA from 1 species
UCUUGAGAAAAGAAGGUGUGGACAGA